GAUGAACGCUAGCGGCAGGCUUAAUACAUGCAAGUCGUGGGGCAGCAUGAGUAGCAAUACUUGAUGGCGACCGGCAAACGGGUGAGGAACACGUACACAACCUUCCUUCAAGCGGGGAAUAGCCCAGAGAAAUUUGGAUUAAUACCCCAUAAUAUAUUUGAUAGGGCAUCUUAUUAAUAUUAAAGCUUCGGCACUUGAUGAUGGGUGUGCGGCUGAUUAGAUAGUUGGCGGGGUAACGGCCCACCAAGUCUACGAUCAGUAGCUGAUGUGAGAGCAUGAUCAGCCACACGGGCACUGAGACACGGGCCCGACUCCUACGGGAGGCAGCAGUAAGGAAUAUUGGACAAUGGACGAAAGUCUGAUCCAGCCAUGCCGCGUGAAGGAUUAAGGUCCUCUGGAUUGUAAACUUCUUUAUAUGGGACGAAAAAGGGCAUUCUUGUUCACUUGACGGUACCAUAUGAAUAAGCACCGGCUAACUCCGUGCCA
rnacentral:rRNA from 1 species